rnacentral:rRNA from 1 species
ACUCAAAGGAAUUGACGGGGACCCGCACAAGCGGUGGAGCAUGUUCUUUAAUUCGAUGGUAAGCGAAGAACCUUACCAGGGCUUGACAUCCUUGGAAUUUUGGCGAAAGCCGAGAGUGCCGCAAGGAACCAAGUGACAGGUGUUGCAUGGCCGUCGUCAGCUCGUGUCGUGAGAUGUUAGGUUAAGUCCUUCAACGAGCGCAACCCUUAUGAUUAGUUGAAUUUUUCUAAUCAGACUGCCCCGGUAACGGGGAGGAAGGAGGGGAUGAUGUCAGGUCAGUAUUACCCUUACGCCCUGGGCUAGAAACGUGCUACAAUGGCCGGUACAAUGCGAAGCGAAAUCGCGAGAUGAAGCAAAUCGCACCAAAACCGGUCCCAGUUCAGAUUGCAGGCUGAAACUCGCCUGCAUGAAGUCGGAAUCGCUAGUAAUCGCAGGUCAGCACACUGCGGUGAAUACGUUCCCGGGUCUUGUACACACCGCCCGU